AUCUAAUGUUAAGGUUUGUUUCUCUAUUUCUAGCCAGUGGACAUUAGCAGAGACAUCAUUGGAAUGAUGAGGGGUUCAGAGAGUCGGCUCUGCUGGUUUGAAACCGCAGAGACACACUGCUUGACUCGCGAGGGAUUCCCUUAUGAGUCCUCCAUAGAGGACUGUUUCACUGGCAUACAGGCUGAAUCUGGGAGGGUUACAGAGUUCAUCUCCUGUAACCGAAUGGAGACAUCAUUCGUCGUGCCACAUUAGUCUGUGGACCACCACUACAACUUCCUGGAUGUUUUUUGAGCUGAUUUUCUUCUUGGCUCAAAACCUCAGCCAUUUAAGGGAGGAUUCUUGGAGCGCCUGCUUGCGCUCUUCAGCAUGUGGGACAUGGACGUGUGGGAGCCUGCAGCACAGCUGUACUUCACAGUGCUUAUUGAUUACCUUACAGAGCUUGCUGAAGUACUCUUCACUCAGCCUCUAGAGCUCUACAGUGACCCAGCAGCCUUAGCCACCACAGUUCAGCGACUCCUCAAGCUGCACGUCCAGCUGAUGAUGGACAUUUUGGAGGAGCUCUGAGCAAUGUCUUUCCCCUUACCCACUUCAUCUUUUCUUCCUCUGUUUCAUUUCAUCUUCUUUUCUCUCACUUCUUUUUCCUACAUUGCUCAGGCUCCACAUGUAUGUAUUAAAUAAUUUUAUUUCUAUUUUUGAUCAACUUAAUAUUUAAAAAAUCUCUUUUCUUUUCUACAGGUUUGUACAGUGAACCCCAGGACCUGAAGAAGGGCUUAACCUUAGCAUUUAAGAUCCCUCAUCCCUUAAUAAUCAUCCCUUAUUAAUCUAUCCCUCUGUUCCUAUCCCACUCACCCUAUUCCCAUC